rnacentral:rRNA from 1 species
GGUUCGAUUCUGGCUCAGAUUGAACGCUGGCGGGAUGCUUUACACAUGCAAGUCGAACGGCAGCACGGACUUCGGUCUGGUGGCGAAAAGUGGCGAACGGGUGAGUAAUGUAUCGGAACGUUGCCCUGAAAUGGCGGGGGAUAACUACGCGAAAGCGUAGCUAAUACGCCCUUCAGGGGGAAAGCGGGGACCUUCGGGCCUCGCACUAUUAGGAAACGGCCGAUAUCGGAUUAGCUAGUUGGUGGGGUAACGGCUCGCAAGGCGACGAUCCGUAGCUGGUUUGAGAGGACGACCAGCCACACUGGGACUGAGACCUGGCCCAGACUCCUACGGGGAGGCAGCGGUGGGGAAUUUUUGGACAAUGGGGAAACCCUGAUCCAGCCAUCCGCGUGUGCGAUGAAGGCCUUCGGGUUGUAAAGCACUUUUGGCAGGAAAAACGGCACGGGAUAAUACCCCGUGCAACUGACGGUACCUGCAGAAUAAGCACCGGCUAACUGCACAUUGCCAGCAGCCGCGGUAAUACGUAGGGUGCAAGCGUUAAUCAGAUACUGGGCGUAAAGCUGCGCAGAGCGGUUCGGGAAAGAAAGAUGUGAGAAAUCCCAGAGCUUAACUUUGGAACUGCAUUUUUAACUACCGAGUUAGAGUGUGUCAGAGGGAGGUGGAAUUCCGCGUGUAGCAGUGAAAUGCGUAGAUAUGCGGAGGAACACCGAUGGCGAAGCAGCCUCCUGGGAUAACACCAUGGCCGCUCAUGCACAGCGUGGGGAGCAAAGCAGUUAGAUACCCUGGUAGUCCACGCCCUAAACGAUGUCAACUAGCUGUUGGGGCCUUCGGGCCUUGGUGACGCAACUAGCACGUGAAGUUGACCGCCUGGGGAAAUUACGGUGCAGAUUAAAACUCAAAGGAAUUGACGGGGACCAUACACAAGCGUUGGAUGAUGUGGAUUAAUUCGAUGCAACACGAAAAACCUUUUCACCAUGGCACUCUGGAAUCCCGAAGAGAUUUGGGAGUGCUCGCAAAGAAGAACAAGACUGGUGCUGCAUGGCUGUCGUCAGCUCGUGUCGUGAGAUGUUGGGUUGAAGACCCGCAACGAGCGCAACCCUUGUCAUUAAAGUUGCUACGAAAGGGCACUCUAAUGAGACUGCCGGUGACAAACCAGGGAGGGAAGGUGGGGAUGACGUCAAGUCCUCAUGGCCCUUAUGGGUAGGGCUUCAAAUCAUACAAUGGUGGGACAGAGGGUCCCAACAACCCGCGAGAGGGAGCCAAUCCCAGAAACCCGAUCGUGAUCCGGAUCGCGAUCCCAAACUCGACUGCGUGAAGUCGGAGUCGCUGGUAAUCGCGGAUCAGCGUAAUAGCAGUGAAUACGUUCCCGGGUCCUGUACACACCGCCGAAAUCACACCAUGGGAGUGGGUUUACAGAAGUAGUUAGCCUAACCGUAAGGAGGGCGAUACCGGUAGGAUUCGAUAUGAAGGUGAAGUCGUAACAAGGUAG